rnacentral:rRNA from 1 species
AACGAACGCUGGCGGCGUGCCUAACACAUGCAAGUCGGACGAGAAAGUUUCCUUCGGGAAGCGAGUAAAGUGGCGCACGGGUGAGUAACACGUAGACAACCUGCCUUCCAGUCCGGGACAACCUUUCGAAAGAAGGGCUAAUACCGGAUAACACUUUGGGCCGCAUGGCCUGGGUUGAAAGAUUUAUCGCUGGAAGAGGGGUCUGCGGGACAUUAGCUAGUUGGCGGGGUGACGGCCCACCAAGGCGACGAUGUCUAGCGGGUCUGAGAGGAUGAUCCGCCACACUGGAACUGAGACACGGUCCAGACUCCUACGGGAGGCAGCAGUGGGGAAUUUUGCGCAAUGGCGAAGCCUGACGCAGCAACGCCGCGUGAGUGAAGAAGG